AUUGAACGCUGGCGGCAGGCCUAACACAUGCAAGUCGAGCGGAUGAUGGGAGCUUGCUCCUUGAUUCAGCGGCGGACGGGUGAGUAAUGCCUAGGAAUCUGCCUGGUAGUGGGGGACAACGUUUCGAAAGGAACGCUAAUACCGCAUACGUCCUACGGGAGAAAGCAGGGGACCUUCGGGCCUUGCGCUAUCAGAUGAGCCUAGGUCGGAUUAGCUAGUUGGUGGGGUAAUGGCUCACCAAGGCGACGAUCCGUAACUGGUCUGAGAGGAUGAUCAGUCACACUGGAACUGAGACACAGUCCAGACUCCUACGGGAGGCAGCAGUGGGGAAUAUUGGACAAUGGGCGAAAGCCUGAUCCAGCCAUGCCGCGUGUGUGAAGAAGGUCUUCGGAUUGUAAAGCACUUUAAGUUGGGAGGAAGGGCAGUAAGCUAAUACCUUGCUGUUUUGACGUUACCGACAGAAUAAGCACCGGCUAACUCUGUGCCAGCAGCCGCGGUAA
rnacentral:rRNA from 1 species